rnacentral:rRNA from 1 species
AACGAACGCUGGCGGCAUGCCUAACACAUGCAAGUCGAACGAGACCUUCGGGUCUAGUGGCGCACGGGUGCGUAACGCGUGGGAACCUGCCCUUAGGUUCGGAAUAACUCCCCGACAGGGGUGCUAAUACCGGAUAAUGUCUUCGGACCAAAGAUUUAUCGCCUUUGGAUGGGCCCGCGUUGGUUUAGCUGGUUGGUAGGGUAAAAGCCUACCAAGGCGACGCUCCAUAGCUGGUCUGAGAGGAUGAUCAGCCACACUGGGACUGAGACACGGCCCAGACUCCUACGGGAGGCAGGAGUGGGGAAUAUUGGACUAUGGGCGAAAGCCUGAUCCAGCAAGGCCGCGUGAGUGAUGAAGGCCUUAGGGUUGUAAAGCUCUUUUACCCGGGAUGAUAAUGACAGUACCGGGAGAAUAAGCACCGGCUAACUCCGUG